ACGAACGCUGGCGGCAUGCCUAACACAUGCAAGUCGAACGAGACCUUCGGGUCUAGUGGCGCACGGGUGCGUAACGCGUGGGAACCUGCCCUUAGGUUCGGAAUAACUCCCCGAAAGGGGUGCUAAUACCGGAUAAUGUCUUCGGACCAAAGAUUUAUCGCCUUUGGAUGGGCCCGCGUUGGAUUAGCUAGUUGGUAGGGUAAAAGCCUACCAAGGCGACGAUCCAUAGCUGGUCUGAGAGGAUGAUCAGCCACACUGGGACUGAGACACGGCCCAGACUCCUACGGGAGGCAGCAGUGGGGAAUAUUGGACAAUGGGCGAAAGCCUGAUCCAGCAAUGCCGCGUGAGUGAUGAAGGCCUUAGGGUUGUAAAGCUCCUUUACCCGGGAUGAUAAUGACAGUACCGGGAGAAUAAGCUCCGGCUAACUCCGUG
rnacentral:rRNA from 1 species